rnacentral:misc_RNA from 1 species
CACCAUUUUUUUUCCUUUUUCUCUCCUAUUCAGCAGCCAGCACCCAGGCGUUACAUUUAUGUAUUGGAAGCUAAAGGAACUCCAUCCAGUCUAUAACAAGGUUAGCAGCAAACGGUCUUCUGCAGAAAGAAACCUGAGAUUAGUAGAUCCUGCUCUUUUGCUUCCAAUUGUGGCUCUUGUUAUCAAAGAAGUGAGAGGAAAAUAAUUAGGAAGAAAGACGGAAAGCAAUAAUCUUUUUUUGAUUUUGGCAGCG